rnacentral:rRNA from 1 species
AGUCGAACGAUGAAGCCNCUUCGGUGGUGGAUUAGUGGCGAACGGGUGAGUNAACACGUGGGCAAUCUGCCCUUCACUCUGGGACAAGCCCUGGAAACGGGGUCUAAUACCGGAUACCACUCCUGCCUGCAUGGGCGGGGGUUGAAAGCUCCGGCGGUGAAGGAUGAGCCCGCGGCCUAUCAGCUUGUUGGUGGGGUAAUGGCCCACCAAGGCGACGACGGGUAGCCGGCCUGAGAGGGCGACCGGCCACACUGGGACUGAGACACGGCCCAGACUGAUACGGGAGGCAGCAGUGGGGAAUAUUGCACAAUGGGCGAAAGCCUGAUGCAGCGACGCCGCGUGAGGGAUGACGGCCUUCGGGUUGUAAACCUCUUUCAGCAGGGAAGAAGCGAAAGUGACGGUACCUGCAGAAGAAGCGCCGGCUAACUACGUGCCAGCAGCCGCGGUAAUACGUAGGGCGCAAGCGUUGUCCGGAAUUAUUGGGCGUAAAGAGCUCGUAGGCGGCUUGUCACGUCGGAUGUGAAAGCCCGAGGCUUAACCUCGGGUCUGCAUUCGAUACGGGCUAGCUAGAGUGUGGUAGGGGAGAUCGGAAUUCCUGGUGUAGCGGUGAAAUGCGCAGAUAUCAGGAGGAACACCGGUGGCGAAGGCGGAUCUCUGGGCCAUUACNUGACGCUGAGGAGCGAAAGCGUGGGGAGCGAACAGGAUUAGAUACCCUGGUAGUCCACGCCGUAAACGU